rnacentral:rRNA from 1 species
AUGAGGCCCAUCUCGAUGCAAGGGGAGUAUACCGUUAUGCAAGAAACUUGUGGGGGUGCCAUGUUAUCCGCAUCGACACACUUGUAUUACUCAAUGCAUUGGUCUACCUAUUCCUUGGCACUUUUGGGUCCCAACGCCGCCGCUCCAGAAACUGGUUCAUCCAAAAAGAUUAACGAGUUGAUGGUUUCCUGCAAACCUAAGCGUAAAUGUGGUGGUUUCUUGCAAUUGACUCCAGCUUAUAGUCUUGAUGACAACAAACACGUAACGAGGGUCAUGUACCGGUUGGUGCUCUACUGUAUCUAUGGGCUGUUGCUUCUGAGUGUGAGUACAAACGAGACUUAUAUCAUCUCUCUUUAUUUGUUUGCUGUUGGUCAAUACAAAAUCAUUUAUGUACAAACGCCAUGUGUGCUGGUAAGCCGCUCAUGGAAUUUGAAUAAAAUGGUCGCUGAUUACAUGUAUGAGGAGCACACCAAAGGUGAAUUUGUUCCAGCCACCAUGAAGGGUUGCCAUUACCUGGUUGAUUGGCCCCUCGACAAAUCCAAGUUGGAUGCUCCAUCAUAUGCAUCACGAUUUACAGCAGAAGACAAUCAAGUCAUUGACAUAGACAAGAUAUGGUUGUGCAAUGACAGUUCACUGGACCAAGAUCUAAAGGAUACGUGCCUUUCCUUCUCUCUUUUUCAUCUGUUGAGGAGGCGCUACUUUGGGUUUACCUGUGGUGAAUCCAAAGAAAGGGCACAUGAUUUCGUCUUCAAGGGGCUGCUACGGGAGAAUGAAGAAGGCACCACAAACUGCAACCGGGCUUUUAGGUUGAUUGAGAUUGAGUUAGCCUUUAUGUAUGAUUUCUUCUUCACCACAUCUGCUGCCAUUUAUUAUGCAUCAACGGCCGCAACAGUUUCACCCUUGAUUUCUUCCUUUUUACUAUGUCUGUCAAUACAAUGGAUAUUCGUCUGGGAACCAUCGCUCAUACAAGAAGGUGAAAUGAAGAUCACUAAUACAGUUACCACCUUAUUCAUACUUGCAUCUGCUGCUUUGCUUGAAUUGCUUCGACUGCUGCUUUACUGGACUGGCAUUUGGAGCAGGGUGUCCUUUGUCUGUCAGUAUCUCAGAGAACAAACAAGAUUGAGCACAAGGGGAAGCUGCUGCUCCUGCUCCUUCUCUUGCUGCUGCUGCUGCAUGCUGCUAAAAUUGAAAGGGCUUCUUGCUAGAAUUGGUGUGCAUUGCUCACCAAACAAACACUAUUGGCAGCACAAGCUUGGGCAGUAUUCUUUACUUGAUUACCGUCCUACCUUCUGUGGCAAGAUCAAGGAAUGUUUGGGUAAAGUAACAGAAGUACAUGCAGCCACAUAUGUAUUGCCUUUCCUCCAUCCAAUUGACAAACACACGCGGAGGGUCCGUCAAAAAUUUGGGAAAUCUAUAGAGUUAACCGCACAAGUACAUAAGGCAAUUAUUUACUCCCUCAAACGAUCCAAUGGUGAACUGACGAAUGGAAAAUCAUCACUAGUGUCCAACAGAGCAGGGCACCUUUUAUGGGCUUGUGAACGGGGCGUGCACUCAGAAUCGGACACAAGCUGCAUCAUUCUGACUUGCACAUUGCAACAUGGUACUGCGAGAGAGGGACGCUUGGAUGUGGCCCUCGCCCGGAUGAGGGAACCGAGCUCAAGAUCCAUCUUGGUGUUGCCACAAAGCUGUCGAAAUACUGCGCAUACCUUCUGGUCUCCGCACCAAAACUUCUUCCAGGGCACGAAUAUGAUACAAGUCGUGUGUUCGAUGCAGUGGCAGGGGAGGCCAAGAGAUUUCUGCCAUAUGGGAGGGAUAAAUAUCAAGCACUGA